AGCACAGUGGCGUAGUGGAAGCGUGUGGGCCCAUAACCCAGAGAUCCGUGGAUCAAAACCACGCUCUGUUA
rnacentral:tRNA from 1 species